rnacentral:rRNA from 1 species
UACGUAGGUGACCAGCGUUGUCCGGAUUUACUGGGCGUAAAGAGCGCGCAGGCGGUCGUUCAAGUCGAGUGUGAAGGCCCCCGGCUCAACUGGGGAGGGUCAUUCGAUACUGAUCGACUUGAAGGCAGGAGAGGGAAGUGGAAUUCCCGGUGUAGUGGUGGAAUGCGUAGAUAUCGGGAGGAACACCAGUGGCGAAGGCGGUUGCCUGGAGCUUUGCUGACGCUGAGGCGCGAAAGCGUGGGGAGCGAACAGG